AUCUACGACCAUGCCACCCUGAACAAGCCCGAUCCCGUCUGAUCUCAGAAGCUAAGUAGGGUAGUGCCUGGUUAGUACUUGGAUGGGAGACCACCUAGGAAGACCAGGUGCCGUAGGCA
rfam:Pteropus alecto contig42734, whole genome shotgun sequence.